AGAACACGCUGGCGGCGUGCCUAACACAUGCAAGUCGAACGGGCACUUCGGUGCUAGUGGCAGACGGGUGAGUAACACGUGGGAACGUACCUUUCGGUUCGGAAUAAUACAGGGAAACUUGUACUAAUACCGGAUACGCCCUUCGGGGGAAAGAUUUAUCGCCGAUAGAUCGGCCCGCGUCUGAUUAGCUAGUUGGUGAGGUAAUGGCUCACCAAGGCGACGAUCAGUAGCUGGUCUGAGAGGAUGAUCAGCCACACUGGGACUGAGACACGGCCCAGACUCCUACGGGAGGCAGCAGUGGGGAAUAUUGGACAAUGGGCGAAAGCCUGAUCCAGCCAUGCCGCGUGUGUGAUGAAGGCCUUAGGGUUGUAAAGCACUUUUGUCCGGGAAGAUAAUGACUGUACCGGAAGAAUAAGCCCCGGCUAACUUCGUG
rnacentral:rRNA from 1 species